UGAGGCUAUUAAGCCUAUUUAAUGGUAUGGGUUUAUGGCCCAUUAUUGCCAUAAUUCCAAUAUUUAAUAUUGGAAUGGCUGUUAUGUGUUAAGCAUGCAA